GAUGAACGCUGGCGGCGUGCCUAAUACAUGCAAGUCGAGCGAACGGACGAGAAGCUUGCUUCUCUGAUGUUAGCGGCGGACGGGUGAGUAACACGUGGAUAACCUACCUAUAAGACUGGGAUAACUUCGGGAAACCGUAGCUAAUACCGGAUAAUAUUUUGAACCGCAUGGUUCAAAAGUGAAAGACGGUCUUGCUGUCACUUAUAGAUGGAUCCGCGCUGCAUUAGCUAGUUGGUAAGGUAACGGCUUACCAAGGCAACGAUGCAUAGCCGACCUGAGAGGGUGAUCGGCCACACUGGAACUGAGACACGGUCCAGACUCCUACGGGAGCAGCAGUAGGGAAUCUUCCGCAAUGGGCGAAAGCCUGACGGAGCAACGCCGCGUGAGUGAUGAAGGUCUUCGGAUCGUAAAACUCUGUUAUUAGGGAAGAACAUAUGUGUAAGUAACUGUGCACAUCUUGACGGUACCUAAUCAGAAAGCCACGGCUAACUACGUG
rnacentral:rRNA from 1 species